rnacentral:rRNA from 1 species
GGACUACCGGGGUAUCUAAUCCUGUUUGCUCCCCACGCUUUCGCACCUCAGCGUCAGUACCGGACCAGUGAGCCGCCUUCGCCACUGGUGUUCUUGCGAAUAUCUACGAAUUUCACCUCUACACUCGCAGUUCCACUCACCUCUUCCGGACUCUAGCUCUCCAGUAUCAAAGGCAGUUCUGGAGUUGAGCUCCAGGAUUUCACCCCUGACUUAGAAAGCCGCCUACGUGCGCUUUACGCCCAGUGAUUCCGAGCAACGCUAGCCCCCUUCGUAUUACCGCGGCGGCUGGCAC